GUCCGGGAUCCCAGGCCCUCAAGGACUUCCUGGGGAGCAAGGGGGGAAAGGCCCAGAAGGAGCAAAAGGGGAUGCAGGACCCAAAGGUGACCAGGGCCUCCUCGGCCUCCAAGGGACCAGAGGACAGCCAGGAGUUCGAGGCGCUCCAGGACUUCAAGGGUUUCCUGGGCCCAAAGGGCUAGCUGAACUUCAGGGACCUGAAGGCGAGGAGGGGCAAAUUGGGCCCCCUGGUCAAAAUGGCACAGAGGGGCCAAA